GGAUUAGGCAUGCAAGUCGAACGAGAAAGUUCCUUCGGGGACGAGUAAAGUGGCGAACGGGUGAGUAAUGCAUGAAUGACCUACCUGCAUGACGGGGAUAACUACUCGAAAGAGUCGCUAAUACCGGAUGUGAUCCUGGACUUACGGGUCGAGGAUGAAAGAUGGCCUCUGUUUCAAGCUGUCGCAUGCAGAGGGGUUCAUGUGCUAUUAGCUUGUUGGUGGGGUAACGGCCCACCAAGGCAAUGAUGGCUAGCCGGCCUGAGAGGGUGUCCGGCCACACUGGGACUGAGACACUGCCCAGACUCCUACGGGAGGCUGCAGUCGAGAAUCUUCCACCAAUGUGCGAAAGCAUGAUGGAGCGACGCCGCGUGAAGGAUGAAGGCCCUCGGGUUGUAAACUUCUGUCACAUGGAGCUAAAACCGUAGAGUUAAUACCUCUUGCGCUUGAAGUGCCAUGAGAGGAAGCACCGGCUAAAUUCGUGCCAGCAGCCGCGGUAAUACGAAUGGUGCAAGCGUUGUUCGGAAUCACUGGGCAUAAAGCGCGCGUAGGCGGCGGUGUAUGUCAGCUGUGAAAUCCCUCGGCUCAACCGAGGAAUUGCAGCUGAAACUGCAUUGCUAGAGUGUGGGAGGGGAGAACGGAAUUCCUGGUGGAGCGGUGAAAUGCAUAGAUAUCAGGAGGAACGCCGGCGGCGAAGGCGAUGCUCUGGGCUGUUUCUGACGCUGAGGUGCGAAAGCCAGGGAGCAAACGGGAUUAGAUACCCCGGUAGUCCUGGCCGUAAACGAUGGGCACUAAGUAGAGGGGUUUU
rnacentral:rRNA from 1 species